GAUGAACGCUGGCGGCGUGCCUAAUACAUGCAAGUCGAGCGAACAGACGAGGAGCUUGCUCCUCUGACGUUAGCGGCGGACGGGUGAGUAACACGUGGAUAACCUACCUAUAAGACUGGGAUAACUUCGGGAAACCGGAGCUAAUACCGGAUAAUAUAUUGAACCGCAUGGUUCAAUAGUGAAAGACGGUUUUGCUGUCACUUAUAGAUGGAUCCGCGCCGCAUUAGCUAGUUGGUAAGGUAAAGGCUUACCAAGGCGACGAUGCGUAGCCGACCUGAGAGGGUGAUCGGCCACACUGGAACUGAGACACGGUCCAGACUCCUACGGGAGGCAGCAGUAGGGACUCUUCCGCAAUGGGCGAAAGCCUGACGGAGCAACGCCGCGUGAGUGAUGAAGGUCUUCGGAUCGUAAAACUCUGUUAUUAGGGAAGAACAAAUGUGUAAGUAACUAUGCACGUCUUGACGGUACCUAAUCAGAAAGCCACGGCUAACUACGU
rnacentral:rRNA from 1 species